rnacentral:rRNA from 1 species
CUGCUGGUAAAGGUCAUUACGUAUUACUUUACUUACCGGAGGAAAAGAAACCAACAGGGAUUGCCCUAGUAACGGCGAGUGAAGCGGCAACAGCUCAAAUUUGAAAUCUGGCCCUCGGGUCCGAGUUGUAAUUUGUAGAGGAUGCUUUGGGUGAGGUACCUUCCGAGUUCCCUGGAACGGGACGCCAUAGAGGGUGAGAGCCCCGUCUGGUUGGAUACCGAUCCUCUGUAAAGCUCCUUCGACGAGUCGAGUAGUUUGGGAAUGCUGCUCUAAAUGGGAGGUAUAUGUCUUCUAAAGCUAAAUACCGGCCAGAGACCGAUAGCGCACAAGUAGAGUGAUCGAAAGAUGAAAAGCACUUUGAAAAGAGAGUUAAAAAGUACGUGAAAUUGUUGAAAGGGAAGCGCUUAUGACCAGACUUGGGCUUGGUUGAUCAUCCUGGGUUCUCCCUGGUGCACUCUUCCAGUUCAGGCCAGCAUCAGUUCGCUGCGGGGGAUAAAAGCUUUAGGAAUGUGGCUCCCUCGGGAGUGUUAUAGACUAUUGCAUAAUACCCUGCUCCGGACUGAGGUUCGCGCAUCUGCAAGGAUGCUGGCGUAAUGGUCAUCAGCGACCCGUCUUGAAACACGGACCAAGGAGUCGUCUUCGUAUGCGAGUGUUCGGGUGUUAAACCCCUACGCGUAAUGAAAGUGAACGCAGGUGAGAGCUUCGGCGCAUCAUCGACCGAUCCUGAUGUUCUCGGAUGGAUUUGAGUAAGAGCAUACGGGGCCGGACCCGAAAGAAGGUGAACUAUGCCUGUAUAGGGUGAAGCCAGAGGAAACUCUGGUGGAGGCUCGCAGCGGUUCUGACGUGCAAAUCGAUCGUCAAAUAUGGGCAUGGGGGCGAAAGACUAAUCGAACCUUCUAGUAGCUGGUUUCCGCCGAAGUUUCCCUCAGGAUAGCAGUGUUGACCUCAGUUUUAUGAGGUAAAGCGAAUGAUUAGGGACUCGGGGG